AAUUCUCAACCUCACCAACUUUUGUUGUGUGAAGGCUUGGAUGUGGGGGUUGCAGGUCCGCCUCGUGUGGUCUGCUCCUCUGAAAUGCAUUAGUGGGUUGUGCCCCUAAUCUAUUGGUGUGAUAAUUAUCUACGCCGUGGAUUGGGUCUGGCUACUGAAGACCUGCUUCUAACCGUCCCUCAGCUGGACAACUUUGACGA
rnacentral:misc_RNA from 1 species